UGGCGAACGGGUGAGUAACGCGUGAGGAACCUGCCUCAAAGAGGGGGACAACAGUUGGAAACGACUGCUAAUACCGCAUAAGCCCACGACCCGGCAUCGGGAAGAGGGAAAAGGUGCAAUCCGCUUUGAGAUGGCCUCGCUCCGAUUAGCUAGUUGGUGAGGUAACGGCCCACCAAGGCGACGAUCGGUAGCCGGACUGAGAGGUUGAACGGCCACAUUGGGACUGAGACACGGCCCAG
rnacentral:rRNA from 1 species